rnacentral:rRNA from 1 species
CAGUCGCCGCGGGAAUACGUAUGUCACGAGCGUUAUCCGGAUUUAUUGGGCGUAAAGCGCGUCUAGGUGGUUAUAUAAGUCUGAUGUGAAAAUGCAGGGCUCAACUCUGUAUUGCGUUGGAAACUGUAUAACUAGAGUACUGGAGAGGUAAGCGGAACUACAAGUGUAGAGGUGAAAUUCGUAGAUAUUUGUAGGAAUGCCGAUGGGGAAGCCAGCUUACUGGACAGAUGCUGACGCUGAAGCGCGAAAGCGUGGGUAGCAAACAGGAUUAGAUACCCGGGUAGUCCCUGUCUCUUAUACA